CGGACGACUGAUGACUGAUCCAGCCAUUAAGACGGUGCCGCUGUUCCUGCGCGGCCCUGCAAUCCAUGUCACCGAUGAAGCUUGCCGGCCGCGUCUAACAGAGGGAAGAGGCUACGAGAGAGGACUGGAGAUCGGAAGAGUGUCGUGUAGGGGAAGAGU